GGGACCCCAGGUCAGGCGGGACCACCCGCUGAGUUUAAG
rnacentral:rRNA from 1 species